UCAGCCGCAACUAUCUCAAACCUAUCUCUCAAACGCAAAAUCAGCCCUAACAAAUCCCUCGAUCAAACUCUCUCUAUUUCAAGCUCACUCCCAUCUCCUUCAUCUUCUUCUUUAACUCUCUCAUUCAAUGCAGCUCCCUCCUUUUCUCAGCCACAACUCCUCUGGCUAAUGUCAAUUUUGAUUCAUGGUUAUUUUGUUCUUGAGUUUUUAUCAUCUGGGCAUUGAUUAUUUUUUGGCCCCCUUUCUGGGCAUUUGGUUUUCAGGACUGACUUGAAGAAUUUGGAUCGUUUUCCGUUUCUGAUGUUGGACGAUUUUUCAAUGGGGUUUUUCAAACUUGGGCUUCUUCCCAGUUAAGUGAUGGUUCUACUUUUAUUUUUGGAUAAAGAGCUGCAUACUUAAUUGCAUCGACUCAAGGUGCAGGAGUGGUGGAGAAAGUAGAAGUAAAGGUGGAGAUAAAGGAAUAUAAGUAUGAGGAAUUAGUUAAAGCCCUUGAAAACUUUGAAAACAGUUUUGCAAGGCAGGAAGCUUAUGAUGGGGGAGCUUUAGUUGUAGAGCACAAAGAAGAAUGAAGCAAUCCAAGAGAGACUCUUUGUGAUAUUGUGUAGAGUCAACAACAAUAUGCUUGCACCUGUUUUCUCAUAUUUAAUAUGAUAAAUUAAACAAGCCUUAUGAAGAAAAUAAUUUUUAUUGAUAAAAUAUAGUUAGUGAACCUACCCCCAGCAAUUUAAUAAGAUUUUGUUGUUGAUCUACAAAACUCUUUGAAUAUUAUGAUCAUUUGUUAUUA